GACGAACGCUGGCGGCGUGCUUAACACAUGCAAGCCGAGCGGUAAGGCCCUUUCGGGGGUACACGAGCGGCGAACGGGUGAGUAACACGUGGGUGACCUGCCCUCAGCUCUGGGAUAAGCCUGGGAAACCGGGUCUAAUACUGGAUAUGACUCCAUGACGCAUGUUGUGGGGUGGAAAGCCUUGUGCGGCUGAGGAUGGGCCCGCGGCCUAUCAGCUUGUUGGUGGGGUGAUGGCCUACCAAGGCGACGACGGGUAGCCGGCCUGAGAGGGCGACCGGCCACACUGGGACUGAGACACGGCCCAGACUCCUACGGGAGGCAGCAGUGGGGAAUCUUGCGCAAUGGGCGAAAGCCUGACGCAGCGACGCCGCGUGGGGAUGACGGCCUCGG
rnacentral:rRNA from 1 species